UCGCGUCGAUCCGAUCCAGAGAGAUCGCCGCCCCAUAGGAAGGUGUGGAGAGGGCAUUAGGCGGAACGAGGAAGAUCCUCCUAAACGCGCGACUUCUCGUCGAGGGGUUUCUCGUAAAUAGAAAAUCAGUCGGUAACACGAGGUGAAUCGUCGCUGCGAAUUAGGACGAGCGACCAUUCUGAAAAGGGACGCUUCAAGGGAACGACAACAUCCGUUGUCAAGGAAAGCUUCUCGGCUUGACGUAUCCUGAAGCAAUCCAAAGUACAAAUUGGUGAACAUCUCGACUCGUCAGCAGGUUUUCACGGAAACGGAGUCGCUCCAGCUGAUCUCGUGUCAGCAUCCCCCUCCCCCCACGCACCACACACA